AACGAACGCUGGCGGCGUGCCUAACACAUGCAAGUCGAACGUGAUUGAAGAGCUUGCUCCUCAUGAAAGUGGCGCACGGGUGAGUAACGCGUAGAUAAUCUACCUGAUGAUUCGGGAUAACACUUCGAAAGGGGUGCUAAUACGGGAUAAGCCCACGGAGUCUUUGGACACUGCGGGAAAAGGAGGGGACCUUCGGGCCUUCCGUCAUCAGAUGAGUCUGCGUACCAUUAGCUAGUUGGUAGGGUAAAGGCCUACCAAGGCGACGAUGGUUAGCUGGUCUGAGAGGAGGAUCAGCCACACUGGAACUGAGACACGGUCCAGACUCCUACGGGAGGCAGCAGUGGGGAAUUUUGCGCAAUGGGGGAAACCCUGACGCAGCAACGCCGCGUGAGUGAUGAAGGCCUUCGGGUUGUAAAGCUCUUUCGGCCGGGAAAAAAUCGCAUGGAUUAAUACUCUGUGUGGAUGAUGGUACCGGAAUAAGAAGCACCGGCUAACUACGUGCCAGCAGCCGCAGUAA
rnacentral:rRNA from 1 species